rnacentral:rRNA from 1 species
GACGAACGCUGGCGGCGUGCUUAACACAUGCAAGUCGAACGGAAAGGCCCUGCUUUUGUGGGGUGCUCGAGUGGCGAACGGGUGAGUAACACGUGAGUAACCUGCCCUUGUCUUUGGGAUAUCUUCAGGUAACUGGGGCUAAUACCGGAUAGGAGCUCCUGCUGCAUGGUGGGGGUUGGAAAGUUUCGGCGUUUGGGGUUGGACUCCCGGCUUCUCAGCUUGUUGGUGGGGUAGUGGCUUACCAAGGCUUUGACGGGUAGCCGGCCUGUGAGGGUUACCGGCCACAUUGGGACUGGGAUACGGCCCAGACUCCUACGGGAGGCAACAGUGGGGAAUAUUGCACAAUGGGAGGAAGCCUGAUGCAGCAAAGCCGCGUGCGGGAUGACGGCCUUCGGGUUGUAAACCGAUUUCGCCUGUGACGAAGCGUGAGUGACGGUAAUGGGUAAAGAAGCACCGGCUAACUACGUG